rnacentral:rRNA from 1 species
UACGUAGGGGGCGAGCGUUGUCCGGAAUUACUGGGCGUAAAGCGUGCGCAGGCGGUUAUGCAAGACAGAUGUGAAAUCCCCGGGCUCAACCUGGGAACUGCAUUUGUGACUGCAUCGCUAGAGUACGGCAGAGGGGGAUGGAAUUCCGCGUGUAGCAGUGAAAUGCGUAGAUAUGCGGAGGAACACCGAUGGCGAAGGCAAUCCCCUGGGCCUGUACUGACGCUCAUGCACGAAAGCGUGGGGAGCAAACAGG